AACGUAGGGGGCAAGCGUUGUCCGGAUUUAUUGGGCGUAAAGAGCGUGUAGGCGGCUUUACAGGUCCGUUGUGAAAACUCGAGGCUCAACCUCGAGACGCCGGUGGAAACCGUAAGGCUAGAGUCCGGAAGAGGAGAGUGGAAUUCCUGGUGUAGCGGUGAAAUGCGUAGAUAUCAGGAGGAACACCGGUGGUGUAGACGGCUCACUGGACCGUAACUGACGCUGAGACACGAAAGCGUGGGUAGCAAACAGG
rnacentral:rRNA from 1 species